UACGUAGGGGGCUAGCGUUGUCCGGAAUCAUUGGGCGUAAAGAGCGUGUAGGCGGCCCGGUAAGUCCGCUGUGAAAGUCGGGGGCUCAACCCCGGGCGUGCGGUGGAUACUGCCGGGCUAGAGGGUGGUAGAGGCGAGUGGAAUUCCCGGUGUAGCGGUGAAAUGCGCAGAUAUCGGGAGGAACACCAGUAGCGAAGGCGGCUCGCUGGGCCAUUCCUGACGCUGAGACGCGAAAGCUAGGGGAGCGAACAGG
rnacentral:rRNA from 1 species